rnacentral:rRNA from 1 species
AAACAUUGCUGUAAGAAAUAUAUUUUUGGUAUAACCUGCUCUAUGCUAUGUGAAUAGCUGCAGUAUUUUAACUGUACAAAGGUAGCAUAAUCAUUAGUCUUUUAAUUGGAGGCUUGUAUGAAUGGUUGAACGUAAGAUUAUCUUUUUUAUUGUUAUUUUAAUUUCAUUUCUAAGUUAGAAAGCUUAGUUAAUUAAAAGGGACGAGAAGACCCUGUAGAAUUUUAAUUUGGGUAUUAAUUUUUUGGUUGGGGUGACAGAAAUUUAACUUUCUUUUUUUUUACUGGUGGGUAAGCUUAUGAUCCUAAUUUAGAUAAAAAGAUUUAAUUACCUUAGGGAUAACAGCAUAAUUUUUCUUAGAAGAUCUUAUUUAUAGAAAAGAUUAUGACCUCGAUGUUGAAUUAAGAUAGUGCUUAGACGGAGAAGUCUAAGA